rnacentral:rRNA from 1 species
UACGUAGGCAGCGAGCGUUGUUCGGAGUUACUGGGCGUAAAGGGUGCGUAGGCGGUUGGGUAAGUCUGACGUGAAAUCUCCGGGCCUAACCCGGAAACUGCGUUGGAUACUAUCCGGCUAGAGGAAUGGAGGGGAGACUGGAAUACUUGGUGUAGCAGUGAAAUGCGUAGAUAUCAAGUGGAACACCAGUGGCGAAGGCGAGUCUCUGGACAUUUCCUGACGCUGAGGCACGAAAGCCAGGGGAGCAAACGGG